CGGACGGGUGAGUAAUGUCUGGGAAACUGCCCGAUGGAGGGAGAUAACUACUGGAAACGGUAGCUAAUACCGCAUAACGUCGCAAGACCAAAGAGGGGGACCUUCGGGCCUCUUGCCAUCGGAUGUGCCCAGAUGGGAUUAGCUAGUAGGUGGGGUAACGGCUCACCUAGGCGACGAUCCCUAGCUGGUCUGAGAGGAUGACCAGCCACACUGGAACUGAGACACGGCCCAG
rnacentral:rRNA from 1 species